GUUAUACAGUGGGUAUCACUUAGAGCUUCCCCUGAAUUUCCUGUUUAAAAGGUUACUACUAGUUGGCAGACGGAAAGUAAUUCCUUCCACUUCCUGUAUUGUCUCACACACAGACACUGGGGGAGCAGGGAGAGCACUAAGAUUUACACAUUCUAUAACUGUUCCAGCAGCUCUUAUGUUAAGGCUGAAUGGACUAUAGACAUCACUGGCCUUGCUCCCCUAAAUUAUAGUACAAUCUUACCUUUAAUCCAAUCUGCUGCUGUUGGUUCUG